UUCGCAAUGCCCGAAAGGGUGACGAAGCGACGCCGCGUGCGGGAAGAAGGCCUUCGGGUUGUAAACCGCUGUCGGGAGUUAAGAAAUGCAAGGAUGUUAAUAGCGUUCUUGCUUGACUAAGGCUCCGGAGGAAGCCACGGCUAACUCUGUGCCAGCAGCCGCGGUAAUACAGAGGCGGCAAGCGUUGUUCGGAAUUAUUGGGCGUAAAGAGCACGUAGGCGGCUAUGUAAGUCGGUUGUGAAAGCCUUCCGCUCAACGGAAGAACGGCAGUUGAAACUACAGGGCUUGAGUACGGGAGGGGAGAGUGGAACUUCUGGUGGAGCGGUGAAAUGCGUAGAUAUCAGAAGGAACGCCGGCGGCGAAAGCGGCUCUCUGGUCCGUAACUGACGCUGAGUGUGCGAAAGCUAGGGGAGCAAACGGGAUUAGAUACCCCGGUAGUCCUAGCCGUAAACGAUGGGCACUAAGUAGAGGGGUUUU
rnacentral:rRNA from 1 species